rnacentral:misc_RNA from 1 species
AAGACUAUAGACCUGCGGAGUACCUGCGGAAGGAUCAUUAUAGAGUGGUAAACCCCCCGUAAAAGGGGGGGACCUCCUGUCCUUUGUAGGCUCUUUUUUAAAAGGGCUUUUUUUAAUUUUCUGCUUCGGUGGGGUUAUCCCACCGGAACAACCUCAAAACUCUUAUCAAAAAAUCGUUCUGUCUGAGAACCUUUUAUAAUAAAAAAAAACUUUUAACAAUGGAUCUCUAGAUCGGAAGAG